ACAACUUCAAGUUCAACUCCUUCGAAUACAAAUAUACUUUAACAUCAUGUGGUUAGUAAGUAUUGAUCUUCCCACCAUGUGAUGCCACAAUUUCUAAAUGUCUACUCCAAUAUAGCCAACUAUAUAUCAUGUUUUAAUCAUAAGUCUUUAACGAUCUGUAAUAUAAUCCAUAGCUUAUGAUUCCACAAUCGAGUAAAAUUUGCAUUAGACAAUCACCAUAUACUUUAGAUUAUCCAACAUAUUAUCCAUAUAUUCCAUAGCUAAUAGAUCUCAAUAAGAAUAGAAUAUUUUAUUCGUGAAAUCCAAAAGUACAUUCGAAACUAAUCCAAAAAUUACUUUACUAAAAAUUGAUCAAAUUCAUCGUAACUUCUAGAAUUUAGCUUAAAGCCUCCAAAUGGUAUGUAAUAUAACAUAUUAAUCCAACAAAUGGCCUUAACAAAAUUAACAACUUAAUAACCCAAAUAUCUCAUCACAUUAUUUGGCUAUAGGACAACCAUAACAUUAAUUUACUUG
rnacentral:lncRNA from 1 species